GACGAACGCUGGCGGCGUGCUUAACACAUGCAAGUCGAACGAGGGCUAAUUGGUAGCUUGCUAUUGAUUAACUCGAGUGGCGGACGGGUGAGUAACGCGUGAAUAAUCUGUCCUAUACAGGGGGAUAACGCAUCGAAAGAUGUGCUAAUACCGCGUAGGACCACGGUGGGGCAUCCCACUGAGGUGAAAGGAGCAAUCCAGUAUAGGGUGAGUUCGCGUCUGAUUAGAUAGUUGGUGAGGUAACGGCCCACCAAGUCAACGAUCAGUAGCCGACCUGAGAGGGUGAUCGGCCACAUUGGGACUGAGACACGGCCCAGACUCC
rnacentral:rRNA from 1 species